rnacentral:rRNA from 1 species
UAGGGAAUCUUCCGCAAUGGACGCAAGUCUGACGGAGCAACGCCGCGUGAGUGAAGAAGGAUUUCGGUUCGUAAAACUCUGUUGUUAGAGAAGAACAGCGCAUAGAGUAACUGUUAUGCGUGUGACGGUAUCUAACCAGAAAGCCACAGCUAACUACGUGCCAGCAGCCGCGGUAAUACGUAGGUGGCAAGCGUUGUCCGGAUUUAUUGGGCGUAAAGCGAGCGCAGGCGGUCAAUUAAGUCUGAUGUGAAAGCCCCCGGCUCAACCGGGGAGGGUCAUUGGAAACUGGUUGACUUGAGUGCAGAAGAGGAGAGUGGAAUUCCAUGUGUAGCGGUGAAAUGCGUAGAUAUAUGGAGGAACACCAGUGGCGAAGGCGACUCUCUGGUCUGUAACUGACGCUGAGGCUCGAAAGCGUGGGUAGCAAACAGG